CACGGGCCAUCACUGGCCCAGUCCCCUCUCUCUCUCUCCAACAGCCUGAAGCCCUCAAUCCCUCAACAUCCUCGCCACGUCCCGUCCCAAAUUCCCCACCGCUUCCUCACAGAUCCAAUAGGCACCGCCGCCUCCCCUACGGAGGUCCAUCUCGCGACCCGGCACCACCGCGGUGUUCCGGCCGGUCGAGCUCGCGGAGCCAGCCGGCGCCAUUACCGCCUUGCCGUCGAGCUCGCAAAGCUACCCUCCGCUGUCGCAGAGUUCCGCCCCAUCGAGCUCGCGGAGCCAGUCGGCGCCAUCGCCACCUUGUCGUCCGGCUCCCAUCAAACCCAUCGAUUCCCCAUUCUCUCGGCUGCCUCGUCGACUCCGACGGUGCCGCCAUUCCCCUUUCGUCUCCACCUCGCGCGCGCAGCUCACGACGCUCGCCAUCGUCGCUUCCCGGCGAGGCCAUCCGCGGCCGCCGUUGUUUCUUCCCGGACGCCGCCACCAUCUCCCCACCCCCACGCGGCACCCCCCACAUUUCCCCACCCGUGCUACUCCCGAAUCCGCAAUCCCCAUCCGAAGAUCCUUGCGACCUCCGCCCCAAGAGUCCUCGCCGCCGGUCGGCGCCACCAUCUUCUCGCAGUGCAAGCAGCCAUCGCCUUGUCGCCUUACUUGCCGGCGACCCAGCGCCGCUUCGUCGUCGUCGAGCUAGCGGCGCCGCAGCCCUCCCCUGCAGCCAUUGUCCUGCACCACCUCCCCGCGGACACGGUGCCGGCUGCAGCCGUAGUCUUCUCGUGGAUCCACCAGCCAACACCGCCACCAACCAUCUCGUCCACGGCCAUCUCCUCGCUUCUCAUGGCUGCUGCUCGUCGGCUCCUCCACACCUCUCCAGUUGGUACUGCCAUGCUCUGUAUUAGCUGUUUUACUGCUCAGUUUGGCUUUGCUUUGCUGUCUAUGCAGAUCCACUGCUUCUUCCACUCCAUGCAGUACACCUGUGAAAUGGUGCAUCCUAAACUGCCAGGAUAUAUGCCAAGUGGUACGCCUUAUUUUUUGUGUGCACGUGUGGAUGACAUUGCUAUAUGCAUGACUGUCCCUUUUGGGUAUAUGCCCAGGAUGGCAUCAGUAUGCACACCUAGCCUUAGAAGCAACACCAUUUGUUUAGAAGCUCUGCAUUAUAGCCGCUAA
rnacentral:lncRNA from 1 species